rnacentral:rRNA from 1 species
GGCGCUAUAUUAGUUGUACCCAGUCUGGUGUCAUAUGAAAAAAACUGAAUUCUCAAGCUGCCCAAUAGAUGUGGAUACUUAAGAAGUCGUUCUAGCUGAAAAUCACAAAGUAUAUGAACCUUAAGUGAAUAGCAGACAAUUAUUUCUGUUCUAUAUUCAUAGAGCUAGUCAACUCAAAUUACGAAAAAUAACUACAUAUUAAACCAUUAGAAAUAUAUGCGAUAAAGUUCAGCUAACUGAGUUCAUAAUUAAAAAGAUAUUAGAGUGUGUCAAUGAGUGUGUUCUUAUCUGUCCUUUUCUAAUAGUUUUCAAACAGAGAUCAAAAUACUGAUGUUGAAACCAACAGAGAGGAACCCGAGGGUGUUAGUGAGUCUGUUCUUGUUUGUCCUUUUUCAAACAGAGAUCAAAAUACUAAUCCCGAAACCAACAGGGAAGAACCUUUGGGGUGACGGAUAAUUUUAGUAUCGCAUUAGUUCAAUCUACAAAAUCUAAACCCAAAAUGAACAUAUGUUUGGAGUAGCAUACCUCUAAACCAAAUAAGAACCGGCGUCUGAACAAAGUAAAAAGUAAAAAUGGUAAUAAUGUCCCAAAAGUGCAAUCAAAUAUACUCAAAUGAGUAAGCAGGUGGGGGAAAUAGGUCUGACCAUACUACUAUCAUUUUUUGUUAACACCAAGUCUAAACAAUCUAUGAUGUUCUUCUACAUGUGCAGAGGUAAAUUCGAAAUUUUGGAACAAUUAUUUGGUUUUAUAGUUUACUGGGACUAUAAACCCUUGCCUAAACAGUAGUUCAUUGAUUAAUAUGUCAAUUUUGAGGUAAGGUGACCACAUGGCAAGCAAGAUGUCAUGGAGCAAAUUCGAGGAAUAUUCUGAUCAUACCAUUUCAGUGGACAACCGACAAAGUAGAGUGAUAAGAAGAGGAUGCUUACUCGAUCAAGCAUCAGAGCUUCACCUAGUUUCUUUCCCUAGCAUCCAUCAGUUCCCCUCUCCUUCGAGGCUGAACGACCUCUUUGAGGGCUGGCAGG